rnacentral:rRNA from 1 species
CUACGUAGGGGGCGAGCGUUGUCCGGAAUGAUUGGGCGUAAAGGGCGCGUAGGCGGCCCGGUAAGUCUGGAGUGAAAGUCCUGUUUUUAAGAUGGGAAUUGCUUUGGAUACUGUCGGGCUUGAGUGCAGGAGAGGUAAGUGGAAUUCCCAGUGUAGCGGUGAAAUGCGUAGAGAUUGGGAGGAACACCAGUGGCGAAGGCGACUGUCUGGACUGUAACUGACGCUGAGGCGCGAAAGUGUGGGGAGCAAACAGGAUUAGAUACCCUGGUAGUCCACACUGUAAACGAUGAAUGCUAGGUGUAGGGGGUAUCGACCCCUUCUGUGCCGCAGUCAACACAAUAAGCAUUCCGCCUGGGGAGUACGGCCGCAAGGUUGAAACUCAAAGGAAUUGACGGGG